rfam:Candidatus Thrbacteria bacterium RIFCSPLOWO2_02_FTLL_51_9 rifcsplowo2_02_scaffold_12707, whole genome shotgun sequence.
CUCGGUAUUUCAAGCGACGGGGGUACACCCGAUCCCAUUCCGAACUCGGCAGUUAAGCCUGUCUGCGCCGAUGGUAGCCGCAAGGCAAGAGUAGGUCAGUGCCGAGA